CUGGCAGGUGGCUGCAGUACACCAGCUUCACCUCUAGAGGUCAGCCUUUCACCGGGACUCGGAGUAUUUGCAUUCCAACUUCAGCAAAGUUAAAUUUUUAUUUUAAAUCGAGAAAAGGAAAAGUGAACAAUUACCAUUACGGGGUACAAUGUGGGGCUUUUUAUAUUUCUAUUUUUGAGGCUUCAUUCUAAAGGAGUAUUGGUUAAGGAGUAAGUGAAACCCUUGUGCACUGUUGGGGGGCUGUAAAUGGCACAGCUGCUGUGGAACGUGCUGUGGAGGUUCCCAAAGAACUAGAAAUGGAGCUCCCAUAGGAUCUAGCAAUACAUACUUCCAGGUAUACACCCAGAAGAGAUAAAAGCAGGGGCUCGAAGAGAUAUGUGUACACCCACGUUAAUAGCAGCAGCAUUCACAGUAGCCGAAAGGUAGACGCAAGUCAAUUGUCCAUCACCGGGUGAGUGGAUAAACGUGUGGUGUAAACUUCAACAGAAUGUUACUCGGCCUUAAAAAGGAAGGAAAUCCUGACGCACUACAUGGAUGAACCCUGAGCACAUGAGGCUCAGUGAAAUAAGCCAGCCACAAAAAGGCAAACACCAUGUGACCCCAUUUACACGUGGCUCUUACAGCAGUCCAGCUCACAGAGACAGAAGGAGAAGCUGCUUCAACUGACAUGUGAAUUUUGUUUAAACUUAAAUCUUCUUGAAGGUAAAAGAGGACAGAAGUCAAGCAAGAACAAAACUCCAUAUGAACUGGAAUUCAGAAACAAACUGAUCUAGGGACCAGCUUUUAGAUUUCAUAGAACAACACAGAGAAUCAUUUUACCUCCAAAGUAUAUUUUCAGUUAAUUGACGUCAUAAUCUAGGCUUUGAACUUCCGAUUACACAUGGUGGAUAAAACACAUAUAUUUAUCUCUGUUCCAUCCAAAACCUGACUACUGGGACUCUCUUAACCAGACUUACUGUGGUGAUCACGUCAAGAUAUAUACACAAUUGGAUCAUUAUAUUGUAAUGUGAUGUGUCAGUUAUACCUCAGUAAAGAAAAUUUAAAUAUAAAUGUUUAGGCCAACAAAGUGAAAGGCACCUGGAGAAGAUACAGUGGACAAGAGAUCUGAGUUUUUGGAGACGGAGAGCGAUGGAAAAGUGGCGAGGUGGCGAGGUCCGUGACUCCGAAAGGAGAAAGCUGAGAUUCAGCGCGGGGAAGGAAGACAGCCGUGCGAGUGUGAGCGCCCGGGGGGCCCGGCGAAGGUCAGAACCUGCGGACAGCAGACACGGCAGACGGACGGCAGACACGGCAGACACGGCAGACACAGCAGACGGACGGCAGACACGGCAGGCGGACGGCAGACAGACGGCAGGGCGAGGUGUGUGGGGAGGCAGCGAGGCUGUAGCUGAGGAAUCCUGGGCCCCCCCCCCUCAGUCAUCAGCCCCAGUCAGUCCCACCGUCUCCGCUGGACUGUCGGGCGUCAGUCCGGUUAGCAGGAGUCCUCUGACUUCCUGCCUGUCGUUGGGGGAACGUCCACGGGGGAUGUGACCAGACUCACAGGUCCCUGAGCCCACACCCUGAGCUGCCUCCGCGUGGGCCCUCACAGCCCCUCGCUGCAGACCCGUGGUGCACGCGCGGGAAGCCAGCGGGAUCGCGGUGUAGGACCCCCAGACCCGAUGGCAGCCGCUCGGUCCUCGCGCCCGGAGACAGUCAGAGUCUCCUGAUUCCUCCCCAAGGGUUUAAACUUGCAGCCGGCAGGUGUAACUUUCAUAAAUCAGAGAGAGCAAAGCUGCUCCUGCUCAUGAAGAAGAGUAAAUACCUGAGGUGAAGCAAUCACCUGAACCGUCCCAGUGACAGCCAAGGAACAGACGGCCUGUGAACACACAGACACGCCAGGGUCAGCGACCGCCGAGCCACGGCCCCUCGGCGUCAGCUUCUGGCCUUCAGCCCUCGGGUCACUCCAGCUUCUCGGUCCAGGCAGGUUUGGUCACCCUGUCCUGCACCCUCCUUCCGGGGAAGCGGCCGCCAACACGGGGGACCGGCUCCUCCCGGGAACAGGGUACCCGUCCCUCCGUUUAGUCAAGUCUUCUUUAUUGGCCUUCAAUACAACUGAAAAAACAUUUCUCCACGAACGUCUUACUCAUUUUUCUUGUAUUUACACCUAGAUUGCAUACAUUUUUCGAUAACUGUGGCUGACCUGGAGGGCCGUGAUCUGUGGCCAUUCUGUGAUCUACGAUCCUCCGUUAUUCCAGCCAAACUGUGUGGUUUCGAACCAGGACAGACCAAUGCAGCGGAAUCCGGAUGAAAACCGGGUUCGAGAUUUUGAAGCAAGUGCAGCGAUCUGGGUGGCAAGUUAAAGACCAGUCAGGGGCCCAGUCCUGGGGCAGGAAGUGCAGUCACUCAGAGAGCUGCUGUGUCUUCAGUCCACGUGGACGUAGAAAGCAGGUUCCUUCGAGAGGGCUCGAGUCCUGAAGGAGCAUCGCACGCGGCGCAGAGGUGGUGGAGGGGAACUGAGUGGACGGGGCUUACCCGGAGACAGCAGGGUCACCCUGGGACUUCAGCCAGACCGUGUGGGGGGGGGGGUCGCUCAGAUGUCACUGUGGCGCAGGCCAGGGUCCUGGUCCCCUGGGGCUAGAAUGGCCCCGUCACCACGUGGAAAUGAGACUGCAUCCGUCGUGAGAUGGAAACACUCCUGUCCGUGGCCCACAUUCCAACUCUGUUUACUUGAUUUUUGUCUUUCUUCUUAAAAUACAUAUAUCCUCUCAGAUUCCCACCUGAGGCCUGAUAUGUGCAGAGCAUUGAGCCCAUGAUGGAGAACAAACACCUGGUGUGACGCGUCUGCCGAGAGGGCUGUCCAAGGCCGAGCUGCCUGUCUGUUAAGAGAUCUGUAUAUGUGAAGUUGCCCUGGGGACAGGAAUGGUGCCUGACGCUUCCCUCUGAGCCCAUCCUGGCCACCAUGUAACAUCUGAACGCCAAGGGAGGGAAGGGUACUGCGGAACCAUGGCUCAGUCCACAUGGGGGCCACAGAGCCGGGGCCCCAGAAGGGCGCUCUGUGGGCACAGCUGUGACCCACCGGUCAUUCCAGCCACAUCAGAAAGAUACUCUGUUUAUGCUUCUUGACAGAAGGAUGAAGUUGGUCCUUGCACCUCGAGCACAGUCUGGGACAUUUCAUCUUGGGUCCUGAACGUCUCGGGAACACAGCCAGCACCCAGUGUUGCUGUUGCCGUGACAACCACCUGGCUGUUUGAGGGUUUCCUUACUGAAUGAAACAGUGGUA